CUUCCAGCACCUUUGUUCAAUGCGAUGUGGGGACGGAGAAGGUUAACUCAGCCGGGUGUUGGAUGUCCCGGUUCAAGCGUGUAGACGUGCUGUUUAGGCAAAUCCGGACGGCUUAGUUGAGACGUGAUAACGCAACACUCCUCGGAGUGCCAAGUGAGCGAUACCAUGCUUCCAGGAAAAGCCACUAAGCUUCAGUUGAAUGAAGACCGUACCGUAAACCGACACAGGUGGGUAGGAUGAGAAUUCUAAGGCGCUUGAGAGAACUCAGGAGAAGGAACUCGGCAAAAUAGCACCGUAACUUCGGGAAAAGGUGUGCCCUUUGUAUGUGUAGCGCCUCGCGCGUGAAGCAGAAUAGGGUUGCAAUGAAAUGGGCUGCGACUGUUUAAUAAAAACAUAGCACUCUGCAAACACGAAAGUGGACGUAUAGAGUGUGACGCCUGCCCGGUGCCGGAAGGUUAAAUGAUGGGGUGCAAGCUCUUGAUUGAAGCCCCGGUAAACGGCGGCCGUAACAAUAACGGUCCUAAGGUAGCGAAAUUCCUUGUCGGGUAAGUUCCGACCUGCACGAAUGGCGUAACGAUGGCCACACUGUCUCCUCCUGGGACUCAGCGAAGUUGAAAUGUUUGUGAAGAUGCAAUCUCCCCGCGGCUAGACGGAAAGACCCCGUGCACCUUUACUGUAGCUUUACAUUGGACUUUGAUAACAUCUGUGUAGGAUAGGUGGGAGGCUUUGAAGUGGACUCGCUAGAGUUCAUGGAGCCAUCGUUGAAAUACCACCCUGAUGUUGUUGGGGUUCUAACCUAGAUCCAUUAUCUGGAUUGGGGACCGUGUAUGGUAGGCAGUUUGACUGGGGCGGUCUCCUCCCAAAUUGUAACGGAGGAGUACGAAGGUACGCUAGGUACGGUCGGAAAUCGUGCUGAUAGUGCAAUGGCAAAAGCGUACUUGACUGCGAGACUGACAAGUCGAGCAGAUGCGAAAGCAGGUCAUAGUGAUCCGGUGGUUCUGUAUGGAAGGGCCAUCGCUCAACGGAUAAAAGGUACGCCGGGGAUAACAGGCUGAUUCCUCCCAAGAGUUCAUAUCGACGGGGGAGUUUGGCACCUCGAUGUCGGCUCAUCACAUCCUGGGGCUGUAGCCGGUCCCAAGGGUAUGGCUGUUCGCCAUUUAAAGUGGUACGUGUGCUGGGUUUAAAACGUCGUGAGACAGUUUGGUCCCUAUCUGCCGUGGGCGUUGGAAGUUUGAGUGGACCUGCUCCUAGUACGAGAGGACCGGAGUGGACGCACCUCUGGUGUACCGGUUAUGACGCCGGUCGUAUCGCCGGGUAGCUAAGUGCGGAAGAGAUAACCGCUGAAAGCAUCUAAGCGGGAAACUCUCCUCAAGAUGAGACUUCCCGGGGGUUUAACCCUCCUAAAGGUUCGUCGAAGACUACGACGUUGAUAGGUCGGGUGUGGAAGCAUAGUAAUAUGUUAAGCUAACCGAUACUAAUUGAC
rnacentral:rRNA from 1 species